rnacentral:rRNA from 1 species
UUAUAUUCUGUAGCAAGGUUAACCGUAUAGGGGAGCCGAAGGGAAACCGAGUCUUAACCGGGCGUUAAGUUGCAGGGUAUAGACCCGAAACCCGGUGAUCUAGCCAUGGGCAGGUUGAAGGUUGGGUAACACUAACUGGAGGACCGAACCGACUAAUGUUGAAAAAUUAGCGGAUGACCUGUGGCUGGGGGUGAAAGGCCAAUCAAACCGGGAGAUAGCUGGUUCUCCCCGAAAGCUAUUUAGGUAGCGCCUCGUGAAUUCAUCUCCGGGGGUAGAGCACUGUUUCGGCUAGGGGGCCAUCCCGGCUUACCAACCCGAUGCAAACUGCGAAUACCGGAGAAUGUUAUCACGGGAGACACACGGCGGGUGCUAACGUCCGUCGUGAAGAGGGAAACAACCCAGACCGCCAGCUAAGGUCCCAAAGUCAUGGUUAAGUGGGAAACGAUGUGGGAAGGCCCAGACAGCCAGGAUGUUGGCUUAGAAGCAGCCAUCAUUUAAAGAAAGCGUAAUAGCUCACUGGUCGAGUCGGCCUGCGCGGAAGAUGUAACGGGGCUAAACCAUGCACCGAAGCUGCGGCAGCGACGCUGAUGCGUUGUUGGGUAGGGGAGCGUUCUGUAAGCCUGCGAAGGUGGCCUGUGAGGGUUGCUGGAGGUAUCAGAAGUGCGAAUGCUGACAUAAGUAACGAUAAAGCGGGUGAAAAGCCCGCUCGCCGGAAGACCAAGGGUUCCUGUCCAACGUUAAUCGGGGCAGGGUGAGUCGACCCCUAAGGCGAGGCCGAAAGGCGUAGUCGAUGGGAAACGGGUUAAUAUUCCCGUACUUGGUGUUACUGCGAAGGGGGGACGGAGAAGGCUAUGUUGGCCGGGCGACGGUUGUCCCGGUUUAAGCGUGUAGGUGUGUGUUCCAGGUAAAUCCGGUUCACUUUAACACUGAGGCGUGACGACGAGGCACUACGGUGCUGAAGCAACAAAUGCCCUGCUUCCAGGAAAAGCCUCUAAGCAUCAGGUAACAUCAAAUCGUACCCCAAACCGACACAGGUGGUCAGGUAGAGAAUACCAAGGCGCUUGAGAGAACUCGGGUGAAGGAACUAGGCAAAAUGGUGCCGUAACUUCGGGAGAAGGCACGCUGACACGUAGGUGAAGUGAUUUACUCAUGGAGCUGAAGUCAGUCGAAGAUACCAGCUGGCUGCAACUGUUUAUUAAAAACACAGCACUGUGCAAACACGAAAGUGGACGUAUACGGUGUGACGCCUGCCCGGUGCCGGAAGGUUAAUUGAUGGGGUCAGCGCAAGCGAAGCUCCUGAUCGAAGCCCCGGUAAACGGCGGCCGUAACUAUAACGGUCCUAAGGUAGCGAAAUUCCUUGUCGGGUAAGUUCCGACCUGCACGAAUGGCGUAAUGAUGGCCAGGCUGUCUCCACCCGAGACUCAGUGAAAUUGAACUCGCUGUGAAGAUGCAGUGUACCCGCGGCAAGACGGAAAGACCCCGUGAACCUUUACUAUAGCUUGACACUGAACAUUGAGCCUUGAUGUGUAG